UUCCUUGUUUGUUCAUGGAUGGAGAUUUGAUAAAAUUGGAACGAUACAGAAAAGAUUAACAUGGUUACUGCGCCACAUAGAUAAAGAAAAGUUUAUAAAGUACUA